CUUUGGAAGGGAGGUUUUUCCUGGCAUCCAGGUUCUCUGUCGCUGUCAAGAGACAACAGAACUAUUUUCUCUAGACAGCCUCACAGACACAUGGCACAUGUAAGUGUGCUUCUUAAGACAAGUGUGUAACAGCAGAGGACAGCAAUUCUGGAAUGGAAUUUGACUGAGCUAUUAAAGUCCUAAGAAGUGACAGGGCAUGAAAUGAGCAAAAUAUUUGCUAUUUAUGGUAACAUGAUUGCAUAUUAAGGAUGAAAAAAA